rnacentral:lncRNA from 1 species
AUGUUCUUGUUUUCAUCAGGCACCAUCGUGUAUGCUACUGUUGGUGGUGUUGGUCUGAUCGCUAUCGUGCUUCUGGCAGUAUGCUGCAGGAAGUCCAGAAAAACCUCAAAAAUUAAACAACACGUGUACUGCAACAGUGCAGACUUCACCAAUGCAAACGAAAGAAAGGUCAGCUGUGGUUAUGAUGACACUGAGAAGAGGACAAAGUGUAGGAAAAAGUCACCUAAGAGUUCUUAUGUACCUACUCACCAACAAAGACAGGAUCUACCAACAUCUGAUCCCCCAGCAAGUGUACACCUUCAUAUCUAUGAAAACAUCUCUUCCCCCAAACUCCCUGAAUGUUCAGGAUAUUCACCCACAGGGGAACAAAAUGACUAUGAUAAUAACUCUGGAAUCUACAUUAAUACUUUGCCAAACUUAAUGCAUGAAAGAACAGAUCAUGGUACUUGUAGAAAACACAAAGCUAAACAUAAGACAUGCAAAAAUAUAGAGAGUUGCACAAACAGUGUCUCCAGAGCCCCUUGUGGAUCCACUGAAGAGAAGCCCAGAUCACUUUGGUUUGGUUUAGAUUUAUCAGAAAUAAAGGAGAGUUAACCUUAAAGAUAUGAUUUUUUAAUGGACAUUCAUGGACAAGUCCAUAAAUAAUAUAUGAGCAACGCUCAUUGUCAUCAUUAUUUAACUUGUACACUAAGUUGUACUGUUAAUAUUUCCAUUUCAUGUCUCUGGCUUCAUGUGUUUGUGUAAAUUCAACUUCUGUUGCAUUUAAGGACACGUUUAAAAGCUUCUCUGCUCAGAGUUAAAAGCGUAAAAUGUUACUUCAUGAGGUUAAUACUUCCGGUUAAGUUCAGGGGAAGCAUUAGUAAAGCAUUGUGUCACUUUGUGAUAUGUUCAUGAGCAUGUGCUGUUGUGGUUAAUGUCAGCAUGUAAAUACCGAACAGUCUGUGUCUUCACAGUUAAUGAAAACUUGUGAAAAUGAGAGUGAAUUAUGUCUUUACGAUAAACUGUGUAUACAAUUCAUUAUGCUAAAGACUUGGUUUUUGCUUCCUCCCACUGCACACUGAUAUGAGUAACCCAAAUUAUACUUAUUACUAUCAACUUGUGAAACAAUAUAACAUCACAGUGAUGUGUAGUUCACAAUGAAGAUCUAUUCUAUUCUAUUCUAUUCUAUUCUAUUCUAUUCUAUUCUAUGUUAUUCUAUUCUAUUCAAGCGUUCAUGUAAUAAAUGAAUGAUAUGUAGCUUACAUACAUA